rnacentral:rRNA from 1 species
CCCUACGGGGGGCAGCAGUGGGGGAUAUUGCACAAUGGGGGGAACCCUGAUGCAGCGACGCCCCGUGGGUGAAGAAGCGCCUCGGCGCGUAAAGCCUUGUCAGCAGGGAAGAAAAUGACGGUACCUGAAGAAGAAGCCCCGGCUAACUACGUGCCAGCAGCCGCGGUAAUACGUAGGGGGCAAGCGUUAUCCGGAUUUACUGGGUGUAAAGGGGGCGCAGACGGCGAUGCAAGCCAGGAGUGAAAGCCCGGGGCCCAACCCCGGGACUGCUCUUGGAACUGCGUGGCUGGAGGGCAGGAGGGGCG